GGGUCAGUAGGUUGGUCGUGCCACCGGUACGUACUGGUCUCACUGAUUCCUCCUUCCUGAAGAACCGUAAUGCCAUUAAUUUGGUGUUGCGGGGAAACAGGACUGUUACUUUGAAAAAAUUAGAGUGUUUAAAGCAAGCUAACGCUUGAAUACAUUAGCAUGGAAUAAUGAAAUGGGGCGAUCGAUCCUAUUUUGUUGGUUUCUAGGAUUGACGUA
rnacentral:rRNA from 1 species